GAUGAACGCUGGCGGCGUGCCUAAUACAUGCAAGUCGAGCGAACAGACGAGGAGCUUGCUCCUCUGACGUUAGCGGCGGACGGGUGAGUAACACGUGGAUAACCUACCUAUAAGACUGGGAUAACUUCGGGAAACCGUAGCUAAUACCGGAUAAUAUAUUGAACCGCAUGGUUCAAUAGUGAAAGACGGUUUUGCUGUCACUUAUAGAUGGAUCCGCGCCGCAUUAGCUAGUUGGUAAGGUAACGGCUUACCAAGGCGACGAUGCAUAGCCGACCUGAGAGGGUGAUCGGCCACACUGGAACUGAGACACGGUCCAGACUCCUACGGGAGGCAGCAGUAGGGAAUCUUCCGCAAUGGGCGAAAGCCUGACGGAGCAACGCCGCGUGAGUGAUGAAGGUCUUCGGAUCGUAAAACUCUGUUAUUAGGGAAGAACAAAUGUGUAAGUAACUAUGCACGUCUUGACGGUACCUAAUCAGAAAGCCACGGCUAACUACGUG
rnacentral:rRNA from 1 species